AACGCGUAAUCAACCUGCCCUUCAGAGGGGGAUAACAACGGGAAACCGUUGCUAAUACCGCGUACGAUUCAUAGACGGCAUCGUUUGUGAAUGAAAGGUGGCCUCUAUUUAUAAGCUAUCGCUGAAGGAGGGGAUUGCGUCUGAUUAGCUAGUUGGAGGGGUAACGGCCCACCAAGGCAAUGAUCAGUAGCCGGUCUGAGAGGAUGAACGGCCACAUUGGGACUGAGACACGGCCCAAACUCCUACGGGAGGCAGCAGCC
rnacentral:rRNA from 1 species